rnacentral:rRNA from 1 species
UUUGAACGCUGGCGGCAGGCUUAACACAUGCAAGUCGAGCGGGGACUUCGGUCCUAGCGGCGAACGGGUGAGGAAUGCUUGGGAAUCUGCCUGGUAGUGGGGGAUAACGUUUCGAAAGGAACGCUAAUACCGCAUACGUCCUACGGGAGAAAGGGGGGGAUCUUCGGACCUCUCGCUAUCAGAUGAGCCCAAGUCGGAUUAGCUAGUUGGUGAGGUAAAGGCUCACCAAGGCGACGAUCCGUAGCUGGUCUGAGAGGAUGAUCAGCCACACUGGAACUGAGACACGGUCCAGACUCCUACGGGAGGCAGCAGUGGGAAUAUUGGACAAUGGGCGAAAGCCUGAUCCAGCCAUGCCGCGUGUGUGAAGAAGGCCUUCGGGUUGUAAAGCACUUUAAGCGAGGAGGAAUGGCUCUGGGUUAAUACCCUUGAGCAGUGACGUUACUCGCAGAAUAAGCACCGGCUAACUCUGUGCCAGCCGCCGCCGUAAAAC